rnacentral:rRNA from 1 species
UACGUAGGGGGCAAGCGUUGUCCGGAAUCAUUGGGCGUAAAGAGCGUGUAGGCGGCCAGAUAAGUCCGCUGUGAAAUCUCGAGGCUCAACUUCGAGCUGUCGGUGGAAACUGUCUGGCUAGAGUCCGGAAGAGGAGAAUGGAAUUCCUGGUGUAGCGGUGAAAUGCGUAGAUAUCCGGAGGAACACCGGUGGCGAAGGCGGCUUCCUGGACCGACACUGACGCUGAGGCGCGAAAGCUAGGGGAGCAAACGGG